CUACGGGCGGCUGCAGUGGGGAAUAUUGGACAAUGGGCGAAAGCCUGAUCCAGCCAUGCCGCGUGUGUGAAGAAGGCCUUCGGGUUGUAAAGCACUUUCAGUGGGGAAGAAAGCCUUGGGGCUAAUACCCUCGAGGAAGGACAUCACCCACAGAAGAAGCACCGGCUAACUCCGUGCCAGCAGCCGCGGUAAUACGGAGGGUGCGAGCGUUAAUCGGAAUUACUGGGCGUAAAGCGCGCGUAGGCGGUCUGAUAAGCCGGUUGUGAAAGCCCCGGGCUCAACCUGGGAACGGCAUCCGGAACUGUCAGGCUAGAGUGCAGGAGAGGAAGGUAGAAUUCCCGGUGUAGCGGUGAAAUGCGUAGAGAUCGGGAGGAAUACCAGUGGCGAAGGCGGCCUUCUGGACUGACACUGACGCUGAGGUGCGAAAGCGUGGGUAGCAAACAGGAUUAGAUACCCGAGUAGUC
rnacentral:rRNA from 1 species